rfam:Ictidomys tridecemlineatus contig067807, whole genome shotgun sequence.
GUGGUUGUAGCUCAGUGGUAGAGUGCUUGCCUAGCAUGUGUUAGGCACUGGGUUCAAUCCUCAGCACCACA